CGGAGUGGACGCACCACUGGUGUUCGGGUUGUCAUGCCAAUGGCAUUGCCCGGUAGCUAAGUGCGGAAGAGAUAACCGCUGAAAGCAUCUAAGCGGGAAACUUGCCUUGAGAUGAGUCUUCCCUGACCCUUUAAGGGUCCUAAAGGAACGUUUAAGACUAAGACGUUGAUAGGUUGGGUGUGUAAGCGUAGCGAUACGUUGAGCUAACCAAUACUAAUGAACCGUGAGGCUUAACCUG
rnacentral:rRNA from 1 species